rnacentral:rRNA from 1 species
AACGAACGCUGGCGGCAUGCCUAACACAUGCAAGUCGAACGAGACCUUCGGGUCUAGUGGCGCACGGGUGCGUAACGCGUGGGAAUCUGCCCUUAGGUUCGGAAUAACUCCCCGAAAGGGGUGCUAAUACCGGAUAAUGUCUUCGGACCAAAGAUUUAUCGCCUUUGGAUGGGCCCGCGUUGGAUUAGCUAGUUGGUAGGGUAAAAGCCUACCAAGGCGACGAUCCAUAGCUGGUCUGAGAGGAUGAUCAGCCACACUGGGACUGAGACACGGCCCAGACUCCUACGGGAGGCAGCAGUGGGGAAUAUUGGACAAUGGGCGAAAGCCUGAUCCAGCAAUGCCGCGUGAGUGAUGAAGGCCUUAGGGUUGUAAAGCUCGUUUACCCGGGAUGAUAAUGACAGUACCGGGAGAAUAAGCUCCGGCUAACUCCGUG